UGAAGAGACCUAAGGAUCCUAAAUACACCAGAUCCCGUUUGAUCUUCGAAGCUAAGCAGGUCAUCCCUGGUUAUUAUAUGGAUAAGAAAUACCUGGGGGUAUUAUAU
rnacentral:rRNA from 1 species